AUUGAACGCUGGCGGCAGGCCUAACACAUGCAAGUCGAGCGGAGCGGCGGACGGGUGAGUAAUGCCUAGGAAUCUGCCUGGUAGUGGGGGAUAACGUCCGGAAACGGGCGCUAAUACCGCAUACUAUCAGAUGAGCCUAGGUCGGAUUAGCUAGUUGGUGGGGUAAAGGCCUACCAAGGCGACGAUCCGUAACUGGUCUGAGAGGAUGAUCAGUCACACGGGAGCUGAGACAGGGGCGAGACUCGGAGGGGAGGCAGCGGGGGGGAAUAUGGCACAAGGGGCGCAGGCGUGAUGCAGCCAGGGGGCGUGUGUGAGGAAGGCCUUUGGGUUGGGAAGCACUUUCAGCGGGGAGGCGUUACCCGCAGAAGAAGCACCGGCUAACUCCGUGCCAGCCGCCGCGGUAAUAC
rnacentral:rRNA from 1 species